rnacentral:rRNA from 1 species
UAAGACGAACCGUGCAAACGUUAUUCGGAUUCAUUGGGCUUAAAGGGCGCGUAGGCGGCUUGACAAGUCUGAGGUGAAAACCCAUCGGCUCAACCGUGGAAGUGCCUCAGAAACUGUCGGGCUUGAGGGGGAUAGGGGCGCGUGGAACUCCCGGUGGAGCGGUGAAAUGUGUUGAGAUCGGGGGGAACGCCGGCGGCGAAAGCGGCGCGCUGGAUCUUUUCUGACGCUGAAGCGCGAAAGCCAGGGGAGCGAACGGGAUUAGAUACCCCGGUAGUCCUGGCCCUAAACGAUGGGCACUGAGUAGGAAGGGCUCCGAUGGCCCCUCCUGCUGGAGCGAAAGUGUUAAGUGCCCCGCCUGGGGAGUAUGGUCGCAAGGCUG